ACUUUGUUUAUGUGUUAUUGAAUUUGGAAUCAUUUCCUUGAUUAGUGCCAUACAAUGCGUGUACAGUGUUCUGUCUGUCAGGAGCUCUUCGGUGACUCUGAUUUUGUCAUGGCUCCACGAUGUGGACACUUGUUCCACAAAAAAUGCAUCAGAGAAUGGGCUAAUACCAAAGGAACGUGUCCAACUUGUCGACAAUCGACAUCUAUUACAGAACUAAUUAGAAUAUUCUUGGAUUUUGAUCGCUCUGUUGAAGUGGACAAAGAUCUUCAACAACAGCUGGAAGAAAUGACCAGGGAGCGUAAUAUUCAAGUACACAUACAGCGGUUUGCCGAUCAAGAGUUAAGAAAAUGUAGACAACUCCUUAGCACUUCCCGCCUUGAACUCAAGAAAACAAAGAAGAAAUUGAAGGAAAAAGAAGAGCAAUCCAGCUUGGCAGAAGAGGUUAUUCAGAUAUACACUGCGGAAAAAGCAAAAAGAAAAGAAAAGCUUGAGGCCCUUGCGGAGUCGAUCUCAUCACUUUAAGGCACUAAAAAGAAGAGAGGACAAAUGAAAAUUAAAGAUCCAUUGGUGAAACCGAUGAGAGGUUGCUGAAAUUCAAGACUGAUUGCUAAAUUACUAGUGCAUAUCUAGGACUGGAUAUGGACUAGUUUCAUCCGAAUUUGAGAUUGAAGUCGUGACUUGGGAGAAUUAGGUUCCUCGUGGUAGGUUCCGCAACGCGCUUGACACACACACAACCACACAACUUCCUUGCCACCAAUGUAAAUAUUAAAAAGAGGAACUUCGGUCUCUUUAUCAAACGUGUUUCCGAUUCUCGACUCCGAGGUUGUACAAAAAUCCUCAUCCAAUUGUAAUGUAAAUAUUUUCCAUUGAAUUCAAGAUUAUGCUGCCUGUUCAUUUCGUCAUGCCAAGUGUGCACUGUCCUCACCGUUUAUGACUAUUUAAUCAGCCCAAGAUGCCACUGUUCCUGUGUUAAAUCGAUAAUCGAUCAAUCACUAACGGGCAAUUAUUUAAUAUUCUUCAUAAAAUACCGUAAGAAAUUUAUAGCUACGGCGAGCAAUUUUUGUAACAUGUUCUGCUGAAUUUUUCUAGCUCGAUCAGCAUAAGAAAAGUAUAAAAAAUGUGACACGAUUUUUCUUGUAUACAGAUUGGCCGAUUUCGUACUUGAGGAUUGAAUACACAAUAUGUUGACUUUGAAA
rnacentral:lncRNA from 1 species